rnacentral:rRNA from 1 species
AUGUUAUUCCAGUACAAGUGGCCGGUGGUUUCAGUUCGACAGUUAAAAGUUGCAUUGGCUUGUAAAAAUUCAUGUGAUUGGACCAGUAGGUGUUGGAAGUCAAUGCUAGGAGCUCCUGGGAUGUGCUCAUGCAUGCUUGGUCGGAACUUUUCUUUUGAAUCAAUUGAUGAACCGAUGGCAUCAAAUAUGCCGUGGUUCUUUCAUGUCCGUUCUCUCUAG